UGGUAUGGUGGGAAGCUAGCACAGUCUGGGGAGAUAUCGGCGGGUGAUGUUUUCAAAACCUUCUUCGUGCUGGUGAGCACAGGAAAGCUUAUUGCUGAUGCUGGUAGCAUGACUUCUGACCUGGCAAAGGGAUCAAAUGCAGUUGCUUCAGUAUUUGAGGUGCUAGAUAGGAAAUCCAUCUCUCCAAAAAAUUCACAGGUAACAAACUCAUUCAUAAGAAUCAUAUAGAUACAUAUCGGCACAGCAGUUUUGCGAGUAUAGAAUCAUUUUACAACACUGUCUUGCUAUGAGUGAGAAUAAUAUACAUCUAUUUUGCAGGUAGAGAAGGAGGAUCAGAAGAAGAAAAUAGAAGGUAGGAUAGAAUUCAAGAAGGUAGAUUUUGCAUAUCCAACAAGACCAGAGUGCCUUAUCCUACAGGAUUUUAGCUUGGACGUGAAAGCAGGAACAAGUGUUGGCCUGGUUGGCAGAAGCGGUUGUGGUAAAUCAACUAUCAUAGGUUUGAUCCAGAGGUUCUAUGAUGUUGAUAGGGGGGCUGUAAGAAUUGAUGGUAUGGAUGUGAGGGAGAUGAAUAUUCUCUGGUUUCGAGGAUUUACAGCUCUUGUUAGUCAGGAGCCUGCAAUGUUUUCAGGCAGUGUCAGGGACAACAUUGCUUUUGGUAAACCAGAAGCUGAUGAAGAUGAGAUUGUGGAAGCUGCGAAAGCUGCAAACGCACAUGAGUUCAUCUCGUAAGUCUUUUUACUUGUUUGUAUUCCAAAAUUAUAUAGAAAUUGCAAGCAUGUCUUUUGUUUCAACUCGCAUUGUCCAACACAAGGAACUAAGUUGAUUAUUUUUCAGAACUUUGAAGGAUGGAUACGAUACUGAUUGUGGAGAGCAUGGUAUACAGCUCUCAGGGGGGCAGAAGCAAAGAAUCGCAAUUGCAAGGGCAAUAAUCCGGAAUCCCACAAUACUACUACUUGAUGAAGCAACAAGUGCGCUUGAUGCACAGUCAGAGCAAGUGGUGCAGGAAGCUCUUGAUCGAAUAAUGUCAGGGAGGACCACAAUUGUGGUGGCACAUCGGCUAAACACAAUCAAGAAUGUAGACUCGAUUGCUUUUCUGGGAGAGGGUAAAGUGGUGGAGCGUGGCUCUUACCCGCAGCUCAUGAACAAGAAGGGGGCAUUCUAUAACCUUGCAACUCUUCAGAAGUAACUGGUUGUAUGACAUGUAAACUAUUAUACCUAAUGAAACUCCGGCAGUAAUUGAUAUGAUAGCUAGGUUACUAUAGCACAGAAGCAGCACUCCUAAGCUAGUUUUCAAGCAACUCUUUCAAUAAUCAGUUAAUAUAUAUCUGACACAAUCCUCGUCCUUCAAGUUUCUGGUGGGCUAACACAGGCAAAAAAUAUAUAUAUAAAAAGAAAUGACAAUAUGGCCUAGCUAAAAGAAGCAUGAUAAGUAAAAACAAGCAUUAUGAUGCAUGAAUCAUCAUGUCUUGUCCUCUGAUAACAUAUGUGAGCUUCAACAGAAUGAAAAAGAAUGUUCAUGAAAGGACUUACCCUGAAGUGACCAUAGCCUGGAAAAAUCAUGAACAUGAUCAAGGAGAUACUGGAAAAAUGUGACCUGCCAUGAUCAUGCUGUUAUUCGUGAGUAAAUACUCAGUAAAGAGCAUGGACAUGAUCAAGGAGAUGAUGUUUGGCUGUUACCUGCCAUAAGGCAUAUUUGUCUAUCUGACGGAUAUCAUAAAAAGAAAAAAAAUGCUCAAUUGUAUAACCCAUAUGAAUUGACCUAACUAUUUCCUCAACGCUAGACUAUCUCCAUUCCUAUACAAAAGAGUGAUCCACUAUACGAACCUGAGAGUGACUACGCAUAAGACUAUUAGCUGUCUCUGUUAAUUUAUCGCCACUAUGCCCUCCCUUCCUACAAGGAACGUUACGAUAGGACAUGGGAGUUAUUCUAAAUUCUCCGUGGCAUGGGACCAAACUGCCUUCUCAAGUCUCAACAGCAUCUACACCGAGACCAUGAAAAGCAUUCUCCCAUAGUAUUUGAAAAUAAAGGAAUUCACCCUUCCCCCUAAGGCCAUGUUCGUUUGAUCCCAAAACCAUAGGGAUUGAGGUGGAUUGAAAGGGAUUGAAGAGGAUUUUGACUUGUAGGGGAUUUGAUCCCCUCAAUCCCUAUGGAUCAGCACAAAACGAACAGAGCCUAACAGUUGUCCUCCACAUACUUUGGCUAUCCAGUGGUCAGAGACACGCGUUACCAGCCCUAGUAAUGCCAGGGACAAUGCCUACCUGCCGUUGCCAGCCCGUUGCCCUUUUUAGUUCUGAAUUUUCUUUUUACAUGAAACAUGCCUGAAUCUGAAUCCCAUCUGCUAGAAGAAGAAAAUCGCAGAACCCACUGACAUGCACAUGCAUAUAAUCUUCUGCUCAUCCAUCAGUAGCAACCCGCAAGGGAACGGGAUGGAUGCCAGGGUUUCGGCCGGGUCAACGAUCGCAGAUUCGCAGUUCCCCGCAAAGCUCACGGGCGCCAGGCCUGCGAAUGCGAACACCGAUACGGAGGGGAAAGCGGCGCAGGAAGAGGGAUCGGAGGACUACUUACGAAUUCCGAUUCGCGCGCGAAGUCGACAAGGAGAACCUUGGAGAAUCGAGGCCUCCUCCGUUCUCCCAUGAGCCGUUUGUCUAGCAUAUCUCUUAUCUCCUCCCAGAUGAAAUUUCAAACUUAUCCCUAUAAACUUUCAUCUACAGUUUCAUAUCUCUUAUUUUUCACGUUCCACCGGGAUGGAGGGAAGGAAGUAGAAUAUCUCCAUCAGCUCAAACAAUCUUACGGGUGGAGGGAAGGAAGUAAGCUAUCUCCAUCAGCUCUCAUAUCGCAUUCGCAUUCUCUAUCUAAA
rnacentral:lncRNA from 1 species